GUAAAUAAGGGACCAUAUAUACACUAGGUAUCUGAUAGUUAUACCAGAUAGCUGUCCAAGGUACCGGGGCCGCCUGUGAUAGUUAUACCAGAUAGCUGUCCAAGGUACCAGGGCUGCCUGUGGUAGUUCUACCAGAUAGCUGCCCAAGGUACCAGGGCCACCUGUGAUAGUUAUACCAGAUAGCUGUCCAAGGUACCAGGGCCGCCUGUGGUAGUUAUACCAGAUAGCUGUCCAAGGUACCAGGGGCCCGUGAUAGUUAUACCAGAUAGCUGUCCAAGGUACCAGGGCCGCCUGUGAUAGUUAUACCAGAUAGUUGUCCAAGGUACCAGGGGCCUGUGAUAGUUAUACCAGAUAGCUGUCCAAGGUACCAGGGUCGCCUGUGAUAGUUAUACCAGAUAGCUGUCCAAGGUACCAGGGGCCUGUGUGUUUCAGAAGACCAACCAGUUUGUCUAUUUAUAAAUAGGAUAUUUCAAGAAUAAAGCCUGACAGACAUGCAAAUGUUAAUGCUGGCCUUAAAUAUCUUUGCAAUAUUAAGACAUAGAGCAUCAUAAAAUCAUUAGGUCUGCCCUAUUUCAUAAACAAGUAACUAUGAUUCAACUGGUCCUAUGUUGAUACCAGAUAACCACAAUGGCCCUGAUGACCAAUGUAUAUCUUCAGGCUGAUCAGAAUAACUGUCCAUAGAAGAGGAAUAUUGUGUGAUAAAAAUAUUUUAUAUAUCUUGAAUGAAUGCUAUGGGCUGUAAUUGUUUUAAUGUAAUUUCAAUAAAUCAUUAAGAAUUAUAAAA